AAUGGGUCAGCGACUUAUAUUCUGUAGCAAGGUUAACCGUAUAGGGGAGCCGAAGGGAAACCGAGUCUUAACUGGGCGUUAAGUUGCAGGGUAUAGACCCGAAACCCGGUGAUCUAGCCAUGGGCAGGUUGAAGGUUGGGUAACACUAACUGGAGGACCGAACCGACUAAUGUUGAAAAAUUAGCGGAUGACCUGUGGCUGGGGGUGAAAGGCCAAUCAAACCGGGAGAUAGCUGGUUCUCCCCGAAAGCUAUUUAGGUAGCGCCUCGUGAAUUCAUCUUCGGGGGUAGAGCACUGUUUCGGCUAGGGGGCCAUCCCGGCUUACCAACCCGAUGCAAACUACGAAUACCGAAGAAUGUUAUCACGGGAGACACACGGCGGGUGCUAACGUCCGUCGUGAAGAGGGAAACAACCCAGACCGCCAGCUAAGGUCCCAAAGUCAUGGUUAAGUGGGAAACGAUGUGGGAAGGCACAGACAGCCAGGAUGUUGGCUUAGAAGCAGCCAUCAUUUAAAGAAAGCGUAAUAGCUCACUGGUCGAGUCGGCCUGCGCGGAAGAUGUAACGGGGCUAAACCAUG
rnacentral:rRNA from 1 species